rnacentral:rRNA from 1 species
AACGAACGCUGGCGGCAGGCUUAACACAUGCAAGUCGAGCGCCCCGCAAGGGGAGCGGCAGACGGGUGAGUAACGCGUGGGAAUCUACCCAUCUCUACGGAAUAACGCAUGGAAACGUUUGCUAAUACCGUAUACGUCCUUCGGGAGAAAGAUUUAUCGGAGAUGGAUGAGCCCGCGUUGGAUUAGCUAGUCGGUGGGGUAAAGGCCUACCAAGUCGACGAUCCAUAGCUGGUCUGAGAGGAUGAUCAGCCACACUGGGACUGAGACACGGCCCAGACGCCUACGGGAGGCAGCAGUGGGGAAUAUUGGACAAUGGGCGCAAGCCUGAUCCAGCCAUGCCGCGUGAGUGAUGAAGGCCCUAGGGUUGUAAAGCUCUUUCACCGGUGAAGAUAAUGACGGUAACCGGAGAAGAAGCCCCGGCUAACUUCGUGCCAGCCGCCGCGGUAACAC